UACCCACGGUCCCCUUCGGCCGCACCAUCCUUCCCCAACGCACCUCCACCCGGCACCUGUGCUCCAUCUCAAGCUCACCAACCAGUUCCUCCCUCAACCUUUGCCUCCUUCAAUCUCUAGACCCACCAUACCAACGGUCCCCCAUCAGCACCUUCUCCCAUUUCCUUUCCUCCGACGCUAUCAACUCCCCCUUUCAACACCUUUGCUCACAGCACCGCUUCAGUUCCUUUCUCCUUAACCCCAACUCUUCACCACCUCCCGCUCCUCAUCCAUUCCUCCACCACUAGAACCACCACUCUCCAUCUUUAUCGACGCCCCAAACCUAUAGUAUAUACCCUCUGUCAAUCCUCACCCAACCUGCAUGACCAGUUCACAGAAUCGAUUCCCUCUUACGGAAGAACGUGUGGGUAUUCUUUCGCCAAGAGAGACUCAAUGCUGCAAGAAAUCAGAGUAGCCAUUUUCAUUCCAAGAUCACAGAAUCACGCGCCAUCAUUGUUGAUUCCAAAUAGAAAUUCCAUUUCCAGCGUCGCUCCUCUCACCUCCACCGCUGCCCUCAGUCGCGCCAAACCAGGGAUGAUGACUGCCCAUUUCGACGCCGCAGGUCUUCGCAGCACCUGGUGUCACUAUCGCAGAGUAUUGGGCCAAAUAGCCAUACCUACGAAGCAGUGGAGCACGAAGACAAGUGUCCCCCCCCCCCCCCCCACGUCGUUGCAACUAAUGACAUUAAAAAAUUUGUGGGUCGGCCGCUUCCCUUCGAGUGAGUAUAGAUACGGAUGUAGGCUAUGUGGCACACAUCAAGCGCUGAUACUCGUGAACUAAAGGAUAACGUAACGAAAUCAAAAGAUGAUAUCUGGCUGUUGCGCAGCAGCUUCGUUACGAUGAGAAGCAAUGCAUCUGUGUUUUUUCUAUUUGAUGAUUGCAGUUAAUUUUGGUACUUUCCCUGUUUGAAUUUGAGUCAAUGAUCACGUGCGAGAAGGGCGUAUCUGCUGUUGUUUUUUUUAUCAUCUUUAUGGUCGAAUUAGACGAAGCAGCAAAUGAUGUUGAGCAAAAGUAAAGAAAAGCGCAUGAAAUCAUUUUAUUUAGUGUCUUCCCAAGUACAUGGAAUAUUAUCUAGUGGUAGUGUCAUUAUCUAACCAUGCAUGCAACAUAAUAUGCUAAACAGAUAUAGGUAACCCUACUGCACCACCUUUUCAUGGAUUCUUCUUCAGUGUAUCAAUAAACCUUCCAUCUAAUAUAUCAUUAUUUGAAAUAUAAUCAAGAAAAUCACUGAAACUGAACUCUUUGUAGGAUGUCGGGUGUUGCUCAUCGACAAGCUCUGGUGCUGGCCCAACUUUCUUGUUUAAGGCUAAACUGUGAAGACUUGCUAUCGAAAAACGCUUCCUCUGAGGACUAACAGUUGCUUGGUGAACAACACUCUUAUAUUGGCCGUUGCUCAUUACUUCUACCUGAUCUCCCAACUGAACCAGUAGUGCUCCUUCGGUCAUUGGAACUGAGAUCCAAUUCUUAUUCUGGUCCAUGAUCUGUAGACCAGUGCAGCUCUGAAGUAAGAUCGUUAAUGACCCAUAGUCUGAGUGCAGUGGCAUGCCUAAUGUGAGCUGUGGUUCAGGACAUGCUGGAUAGCAGUUCAUGGUCAUCACUUGUGAUCCUUCUUCAAUUUCAUUUUGCCAUAGGUGAAUCCACUCUGAGAUGGGAUGAGAGUAAUGCUUGAUGAAGUCUCUCCAAAAAUGAACUUUGUCCCUCGAAUGAUUUAAACUGGUGCCGUACCUUACAGGGGCAUGGACAUUGCCUGACAUCAGAAGCAUCUUCUCUUCAAGAGGCAGGUCGAAGAAGCCCAUCACAGCAUCUAGAGCAUCUUUCAUCACAUGAAGAGGGAUUCCAUGGUUUAUCACCUGAAAACAUGCACUUCGUAUCUCAUUUACAACACGAGACCUAAGAGAAGGAUGGUGCAGCAUGGAAAGGUCAACAAUUGGAAGGGUGGUGGAGGGGGUCAGAGUAGCAUUUGGCCUUGCUGAUGAAGGAAGAAUGUAAGAAUCGGGCACGUUAGAUGCCCCUGACUUGUUACAUUGUAUAGGAAGCACAAAUUAUGGUGUGCAGCCCAAACGUGGAUAUUACACUCAUAAAUGUAUUUGGUGAGAGAGAAGGAAGAAAAGGAGGAAGUGGGCCCCACCAAUUUGCAGGCUGAUGAUGAAAUAGAUCUAUCCCGUAGUGCAAAAUUCCGGGCAGCAAGGGACCCAUAAGCCAGAGAUGGCGGAAUAUGAGAUACUAGAGGGUUUUUUAGCAAGAGAUGAUAGAGUUUACAAUGAAUAAUGUUAGUGCAAGUUGUGAGUGACAUGCACGUCCCCAAUUACAGCGUUGGAGCUAUUACUUAGCUUUUCACGGCAGGCAUACAAUACAAGAUUGGUUACUGCUCUUCAUUUUUUCCCUAGCUGUAGCACGUGAAAUAUCGGAUUGCAGUUGAAACAUUAAACUCCACCACCCUUGUUUAUUUAGUUUUUAUGUUUUAUUAACAGUGAAGCUAUUACUUAGUUUUUAUGUUUUAUUAACAGUGAAGAAAACAUAUACUUGUUUAUUUAAUAUAAAGUAUUUUUUUAAUUUAAAAAGUAAAAAAAAAAUGCUUAUAUCUUUUUGAAAA